CUGACAGAAGAGAGUGAGCAAUCGCAGGCAAUUGUAUAAAGUGUAUAUUUUUGCAUAUGCGAUUGCUCACUUCUCUCUCUGUCAG
rnacentral:pre_miRNA from 1 species